CGGGGUUAGCAAUGCAGGGGGGCGUUGUGUGUUAGAAAGGCCGGGCGCUCUCCUCUACCUGCUCAGCAACUAUCAGCUGUAAAGACCUUCAGUGCCGAUUCCCCCUCAGAGACCGUUUCUUUUUACUGGUACAGCAGCCCCUCAUGCAGGCACCCGCAGCCUGUGAUCCCCACCCUCUCCUCAGACAGGAAAAUGUUUUUUUCCCCUGAUAAAGCAGCAGCAUAAUCCAGAUAUUGAGGCCCCGCCCCUUUCACAGGCUCCACCCCCUCUCACGACCCGCGAUUACCCCCUCUCCCCAGCAGCCAUCUUAUAGCCGAGGCACUGCCCCUCAUGCAGGCACCCGCAGCCUGUGAUCCCCACCCUCUCCUCAGACAGGAAAAUGUUUUUUUCCCCUGAUAAAGCAGCAGCAUAAUCCAGAUAUUGAGGCCCCGCCCCUUUCACAGGCUCCACCCCCUCUCACGACCCGCGAUUACCCCCUCUCCCCAGCAGCCAUCUUAUAGCCGAGGCACUGCCCCUCAUGCAGGCACCCGCAGCCUGUGAUCCCCACCCUCUCCUCAGAGACAGGAAACAGGUCUUGUUCCUGAUAAAGCAGCAGCACAAUCCAGAAGUCGAGGCCCCGCCCCUCUCACAGGCUCCUCCCACGACCCGCGAUUACCCCCCCCCCCUCCACCUCCAACUAUGAGGAUCCAGCACAGACUCAGAGUUCCUGCAGCUCCCCUGCAAGGACAGUGAGGCACGGAGGCGCCUUGCUGGAGAGGCACCAUCCCCUCUCAGGAUGAGGUCAGGAUGCGAACAGUCGGAAUCACGGCACACAGGCAGAAGAUGGGUGCUAGAAUGCCGACAUCGGAUGAAAUGUUUGCACCGCAAGGCCGACACCUGCAUUCGAAACGUUCCAGCUCCUGUCUCCAGACUUCUGCUAUAGAGACCCGCACCAGCAUUCCAUCUGCGGUGUAGCCUGACUCUCCGAUCCAUUCUGGACUCACCUGUUUCCAGCUACAACAAUCACCUGCUUCCAGCCAAGCUUCCAGCAGUGUGCAGCUUCUCUUAAAGGGCCGGUGUCCUUUCUGCAGUUUACCACUCUCCACCGGUAUUAUUAUUUCACCGCUCUCAAACAAUCACCUGCUUCCAGCCCAGCUUCCAGCAGUGUACAGCUUCUCUUAAAGGGCCGGUGUCCUUUUCUGCAGUUUACCACUCUCCACCGGUAUUAUUAUUUCACCGCUCUCAAACUCCAAACUUCAUUAUUAUUUCAUCGCUCUCAAGUUCGUUUAUUAUUUAACUGGUCCCAGCCAGUAUCCACUCCGUACCAACAACAGUCUGGUUCCAGCCAGUAUCCACAGCAGCCGUUUUACCUUCAGCAGCCCAGCCUUUCCUGGAACAUCAGCUGGUACGAUCCUGGGUUCUCUCCAUUGCUACAGUCAGGCCUGGUAAGGACUUUCCAACUAGAAGA